rnacentral:rRNA from 1 species
GACGAACGCUGGCGGCGUGCCUAAUACAUGCAAGUCGAGCGGAUCUUGCCCUUCGGGGCAAGGUUAGCGGCGGACGGGUGAGUAACACGUAGGCAACCUGCCUGCAAGACCGGGAUAACAUUCGGAAACGAAUGCUAAUACCGGAUACGCAGGCUGAUCGCAUGAUUGGGCAGGGAAAGACGGCGCAAGCUGUCACUUGCAGAUGGGCCUGCGGCACAUUUGCUAGUUGGUGAGGUAACGGCUCACGAAGGCGACGAUGCAUAGCCGACCUGAGAUGUAGAUCGGCCACGCUGGGAAUGAGACCCGGCAGAGACUCCUACGGGAGACAGCAGCAGUGAAUCUUCCACAAUGGACGAAAGGCUGACGGAGCAGCGCCGCGUGAGUGAUGAAGGUCUUCGGAUCGUAAAGCUCUGUUGCCAGGGAAGAACAGCCGGGAGAGUAACUGCUCCUGGAAUGACGUUACCUAAGAAGAAAGCCCCGGUUAACUACGUGCCAGCCGCCGCAGUAAAAC